UACGUAGGGGGCUAGCGUUGUCCGGAAUCAUUGGGCGUAAAGCGCGUGUAGGCGGUCCGGUAAGUCCGCUGUGAAAGCCAGGGGCUCAACCCUUGGAUGCCGGUGGAUACUGUCGGGCUUGAGUACGGAAGAGGCGAGUGGAAUUCCUGGUGUGGCGGUGAAAUGCGCAGAUAUCAGGAGGAACACCAAUUGCGAAGGCAGCUCGCUGGGACGUUACUGACGCUGAGACGCGAAAGCGUGGGGAGCAAACAGG
rnacentral:rRNA from 1 species